rnacentral:rRNA from 1 species
CUUGCUGUGGAAAGUUUGGUGAAUCUUAACACUUACAGGAAGGAGAAGUCGUAACAAGGUUUCCGUAGGUGAACCUGCGGAAGGAUCAUUC